ACGGGUGAGUAACACGUAGGUAACCUGCCUAUGAGACUGGGAUAACUAUCGGAAACGAUAGCUAAGACCGGAUAACUGGUUUUCUCGCAUGAGAGAAUCAUGAAACACGGAGCAAUCUGUGGCUUAUAGAUGGGCCUGCGGCGCAUUAGCUAGUUGGUAGGGUAAUGGCCUACCAAGGCGACGAUGCGUAGCCGACCUGAGAGGGUGAACGGCCACACUGGGACUGAGACACGGCCCAGACUCCUACGGGAGGCAGCAGUAGGGAAUCUUCCGCAAUGGACGCAAGUCUGACGGAGCAACGCCGCGUGAGUGAUGAAGGUUUUCGGAUCGUAAAGCUCUGUUGCCCUAGACGAACAGCAAGGAGAGUAACUGCUCUUUGUGUGACGGUAUAGGAGAAGAAAGCCCCGGCUAACUACGUGCCAGCAGCCGCGGUAAUACGUAGGGGGCAAGCGUUGUCCGGAAUUAUUGGGCGUAAAGCGCGCGCAGGCGGUUAAUUAAGUUGGGUGUUUAAGCCCGGGGCUCAACCCCGGUUCGCAUCCAAAACUGGUUGACUUGAGUGUAGGAGAGGAAAGUGGAAUUCCACGUGUGG
rnacentral:rRNA from 1 species